GGUGAAGUCAAUCACGUUCUCAGAUAUAAUGGAUUCUCCGAAGUUGGUAGCAGGACACAGAAGCUCGUGAAACCACGGGAAAUCUGGAAAAAAAAAUUUUUUUCAGAGACUCUACUAUAAAAAGUUUCAUAUGGUAAACCCCAGGGUUAGGUGAGUGACCGAUCAAAUUCUGAGAUAAAUUCAUCCGUAGGAAAAAAAGAAAAAAUUGAUGUUUUGGAUCUCCACGACGUCUUAUGCAGGCAGAAACACAUCAGGGUAUAAACCUAAUGAAAUAAUUUCUAGUGAUGUAAUUUUUGAAUUAUUCAGAGUGUCUCAGGUGGGAUUUUCCCACUUUUUCAGAUUUCUUAUGAAUGAGGCAAUGUAGCAUGCAAAUAUAAUAUAUAUGUUUUAUAACCAA